rnacentral:lncRNA from 1 species
AACUUCAGAAUAGCCGAUUAAAAUAUUUUAGUUUUUGAACUCGAAAUUGAUAAACCGUAUAAAUAAGUUCUCAGUAAAUUUUAUAUUUUAAUAAAGCAAAUAGUGCAGGGGCAGUAUUUGUAAAAUUAGUAUUGUAUUAUUUAUUAAUUUUCCUUUUGGAUUAUACAGAUAAUUUCGUCCGAGAUUAAAUAUUAAAUCUCGAUAUUUACGUUUUCCCAUCUGGUAAUGCCGUCUGGCCAGGAAUAGCGCAUGCGCGCGCACAGAAAUAACGCAGACGACGCCAGCUCUCGACACGACGCAUUUGGAACAAUAUUAAUAUGCGAAUGUCCCGCACCUUCAGAUAUGCUAGACGUGGUGACUCAUGCGCAUAAUACGCCAGACGCGUGCAAGAAGACUUCACUUGUCUCUCGACCAUCUUUACAGAUAGUGCCUUUGACAGAUUGUAGAUAUGGCAGUAUUUCGAUCGUAUUAUGGGACCUACAAUAUAAGAUAUAAGCAAUUAUUGAAAAAAUAAAAAUACCCUAACAAUAUAAUAUCUAUGUUAACAAUAUAACCGACUGACAGUAUAUAAUAUAUUAAGCCACCAAUCAAGAUUGAAGCAAAAAUGGAACAAACGUUAUAAACUCAGCAGUGAAUAAAGAUACAGUACUUGAAGAACCGAGUAUCGACGUGAACUCAAUAAAUUGGUUGAAUACUUUCUACAAACACUGCUAAACUUGAAAAGUACCGCUGAACCAUGAGAUUGUGGACAAUAAAACUGGAAUUUUCAUAAAAGACACCAACAGCAAACGAGUAUCAAAGAACCAUUGUAGAAUGAAAAAUACAUAUGGAAAUUGAUGUAUGCUUAUUUGGUAUUUAUAAGUUACAAAUAGUCUACCUCAUUAGCGAAUAGAAACAAUUAUUUUUUAUAACCUUAAUUAAGUACCUACAUAAUAUAUAUCGCUAUUUGUGACUCAAACGCUUGUUUCCCGGAAAACGAUAUGGUAUUUCCCCUUGGCCACAAAUAAGAGGAACAUUGUCCGUUUAUCGCGUAUUUUGAUGUACUAUUAUUUAUUUGUGUGAGCAGCUCGAAUGUAGUUAGUAUUCCGAGAGUUUGUCGAACUUUUUACGCAUUCUAAACGGCAUUCGGUACGUUGGCACUUUUUCAAACUUCCCCCUAAACCGGUUGCAUACAUGUUAGGCGAUAACUUCGAUGUUUUAGUCCAGAGGUCGCUAGUUGUUAGUUUCCAAUGCACACUGUAUACAGUCGUAUAAUAACCAGAUGGUGGUUGCGGUGACUCACCGCGAAGGUGGAAUUAAUUAACGAUAGUUGCCGGUGCAUAGACGUCCUUGCAAGGCUGCUGCGUUGGCGAUCACGUGCCGAUCGCCUGUGCCUGCGCCUGCGCACUAUCCUUUCUACUAAGCUCAACUAGGUUCUACUACAUCUUCACAAUGUUUGUCCCUUUCUAAUCGACGAAAUAUGGUGAGACGACGUUUAUUGGAAUUCAUUUAAAUGUAUAGCCUCACUAUGCUGUUCCCAGUUUCAGUAAAUUUCUUCAAUACCUACUAAUUGAAGGUGCUUUUCCAACUUAAGCAAUUAUUUUGCAAAGUAAUGGUCAGAAAUCAAGGAAAUCUUGUUUUAAACACAAAUCUAAUGAAUCACAAACGUUUAAAAAAGUAAUGUCUCUGUAUAAACUUGUGCAUAUCUAAAUGUCGCGAAUUCCUAUGUAGAUUUUAUGUCACAUUUUCCUUAUAAAAUACGUUAGAGAUAACGUACCUGCUUGUCAAGUAUUUUAUCCUUUCCUAUCCUUUUAAAAUAGGAAUACCUUUGUUUGCCGAUGACUUGCACAACUAGUAGAUAAUUUAAUUCAUACAUAUUCAUCCAAAAGACAAUAGAUGGCGUUACUUGCUGUGAAGCUAGUGAAUUUUAAGCCACGUGUAAUAUUUCAGUUAAUUUCGUUAACUUUGUGUUUAAACGUUCGUUUAAAACAAUAAGAAAGCUUCCUAGUUUCAGUCUUUUUUGAAUAAAGUUAAUCCCGAACGAAUGGGUCGUCCGCCCACUUGUGGCGGCUUCACAAUUAUAGAGGAGAGUGGGCGCGUGGCGAAUCACCGGCGCCGUCGCAACCAUAACAGUCUUGAAUUAAGAAUAGAGACUCGUGUGUAGUUACUUUAUACGGAUGAUUUCCUAAGGGGGAAUUAGUUUCACUUUAUGAUUCUCUCUUUAGUUUUUAAGCGUUAAUAACUGAACGGUAUGCUUACGGUAAAUGUAUGAGUGCUUCGAACAAGCUCGUAAAUGUUUAGUAAAGGGAAAAUAUUAAUAUGGGACCAGUGGCGCUAUCUGUCCUGUAGAAUUCAAUAUAGAGCUAGGCGUGGGCGCGGGCUGAGUCACAGGCACUCCUUGGCAUGCCCGCCUCGUAUACAUACAGCCCACUCACUGUAUAUACUAGCUUUAAUUGCCUAACGAAACCGACCACAUUGUUUAACUGUUAAAAGGACUCCCUAUGCGAGAGCUCUUCCACACAACACAGCCAGGUUCGGUCUUUUUUGUAUUUAACAUUUAAACUUGGAAUUUUUUGGUAUAUUAUGCUGAUUUCAAUUCAGAAUAAUACAUGGCGAAAAGUCUAACACAAGGCGGAAUGUGGGUGCUCGGGAGCACCUCUACCCUACCCUUACAGGAAUGAAGGCGUGGUAUAUGUUUAUGUUUUAAUUCAUUCUUCUUCACACUUAAGUCUAACGUACUCUGCUUUAACUGUGCCUUCUACCACGAAAAAGACCCGAUGCAUGCGGCAGCAUCUUUUAAAAUAUGUGUUUUAUUACAAGAGUACAUAUUUAUUUUAACAACGCCAAGUGUGCAAUAAUAGAGGUAUAACAUUUUCGAUAGUUAUGGAGAAAAAAAAAUCUGAGGAAAGGAAUAAGCAUUAAGAAGCUGAAUGUUGUUUGGGUUUUCAGAGAUCUCAUUUACUUAUAUGAAACGCAAUAACAAAUUACAUAUAUUAUGUUAUCUAUGGCGUUGCUCUACAUUUUUAUAAUAAUUAAUGAUAUUAUCAGCGGCGAUAUAGGACGUGGCCCGUGGGCGAGUUGGGUCACGGCCCACACCGCGACCUUACGGUCGGAGAGACCUCACGCCACACAUUUAAUUAAGUACAUACCUACCUUUAAAUUGUAGAAUAAGUUCAAUUAAGCCUAACAGGCUGAGAUUAAAGAUUUUCCAUAGUGUAAAACGAUAAUUUAAAUCAUUGAAAGUGUAUUUAAUGCAUUAAUAAUAAGUAAUGUAAGAAAACUCGAAAAUAUUCUCAUUAUUACAGAAUCUGUUAGUCUUUCACAGCCUUUAAAUAUAACAUAGCCUCAGAAAAAAACAAUAUCAUUGGAAUUUCCCUAAUUCAAUUCCUGAUAACAAUUGCAACAGAUAUUAUGAUUGAUGUUCUGUUAUGUAACCAAUUAUGACAAAAACUUAUUUUAUACAGAUUGUGCCCACAAAUAUUAUUCGUUGUUAUUGCAACACAUUCAUUUCAUUCAAAACAUUUUUAAUCUGGUAGAAUCAUACUUUUUUUUAAAAUGGGUAAAUCCAUUUACGGAUUUUACUAAACUCUCCGUCUGAACCACUCUCACGACUCUCUCUUAUAUCGAAGGGCACGAGGUGUGCAUGUGUAUGCAACCACAAUCCUCUCAGAAAUCGUCUAUUGUGCAUAGCCUCUUGCAGCCGGAGGAAACUUCGAAAUGUUUACGAUGAACUCUCAGGCUUUUAUGUGCAUGUCCUAUUCGCCACCAUCAGGCCCAUUUAGUGAGGUUGAAGAAUGUAUAUCCGACAGCUAUCCCGAAAGGCAAGCCUAAUAGACCGCUCCAUCUCUCUCUCUCCGCUACUUCUUUCGGGACUAAUUCGCAGAAUAAGGCAGUGGCGUUCCACCUAACGUCAUUCUCAGCUAUGGCUUCGAUUAUUGUAACUAGCGAUAAUUUAGGUAUCGUUAUUGCCAAUGGUCGUAGCAAAAUUUUGAUGCGGUGAGUCUCAUGCGAGAUAAACGACCAGUUUACUUUGUCUCGGCACAAAAGACUUUUUCGGUGCAGCCACCAUAAUGAUACCCUAACAAAUCCAACACAAAUAAUUUCUGUAACAGCAAUAUCCGGAGAGUACUUGUGCCAAUCUAAAGGUCAGGGUGCCGUGCCUUUGAAGUCAUUCCAUGUAUAUAAAUUGGAUAACUUCUAUUGUUAUCGCGGCAAAAGUAGGACGUUCUAGGCUCUAGAUGUAGAUGCCAUUUUGCUUUCAGGAUUUGUUGAUGCCAUGAUUAUUCAGCUGGAAAAUUACACUAAAUAGCCAAGUUUGUCCACUCGCAUAGGGUGGCGAAGCUCGGGUUGUAAUCGGGGUCUAAAGUAAAUAAAAUUUACAGUAGCUUUCUUGUGUUGAACUAUCAGGUGCAUUACCAGUGACUUGUAAAUCCCUCCCUUAUUGCCAUGGCUUUUCUUUUUUUAAGAUCUACAUCGCACCCCAUCGCAUCUCUGGUAUUGGAGAUGAUAAGGGCCAUAUUCAUUUACCGUCAGGUUCGUCCAGAUGUCCUAUUGCUAUUGCCUUCAUCUUCAAUAAUGAAAAAAAAAAAAACACACACACUGGACCUACAUAAAGAAAAGAACAUAACAUAAGAAUAAAUACAGACAAGAUAUGGAAACUUCAAAGAAAGCUUAAUUUGAAGAAGAAAACUGCCAUAAAACAUAGUAAAGGAGGGAUUGUCCCGACUAAUAACAACGCUUUAAAUAAAACAACCUACUACGUCUCAUUGAUAUAGGCGAGCGUCCUUCAUAUACAUAUUUUUCAUGAUAAAUAAAAUUAAUGUAGAUAUUAAUUUAGUUAGUGAUAGCAACGGACACCUAUAUACCUACCCGCAGGUAUUAAGAUUAUUGCUUAUUUAUAUUUAGAUUUAGAUAUUGAAUAACGUACUUUUUUAUCAGAAAUGGUUGAUAAUAAAACUUUAAUCUAUUAUAUCGAUUAAUUAUUUAUGAUAGUCUAAAACAAAAGACGUAUGCCAAUUUGAGCAUUAAGCGCUAUGGUGGAUAAACUAUUGUGCGCGUUACGCAGGCCUUCGAAAUGGAUCUUUUAUUUUCUUCUUAAAAUAUUUUUUAUAUAUUUUGUACUUAUUUAGGGCGUCUUGCUGUGAAUGCUGCAGUAGAAAUAUCUCACAACAGCAAAUUUCCAUCAACAAUACUUCGCAUCCGGCCUGGACGCGGCCCGCUGCGUUGCUAAUAUAUAAUAAACAAAGGGUCAAAACAACUUCCGUUCCGGCCAACAAACACGUUGAUCUGCAUUUUACUACGUAAAUGAAUUUAACAUGUAAAUGAAUGUAUUUACAUUUUAUACUGCGUAUUAUUUACCGUUUUUAGGGUUCUGUACCUGAAAAAGAACUUUAAAGGGUCAUUUUGCGUGUCGUCUGUCUGUCAAGUGCCUUUUUAACAGGAACGCGUAGAGGUAUCAAUGAAAUUAAUAUCACAUACUCGUGUCUACAGCAUUGUUCAGUUAUAAAAGAUCAUAAAAAUCAAACUAAUAAAUCAACACGAUCAAAAAAAAAUUACCCUUUAAGUAUGUCGCAUAUUUUUUAGUAAAUCUAUAGAUAUGUGAGAAGAGUUUCUAUUAGGAUAACUUGCUACACUGAAAUAUUACUACAUAUAUAAACUAAUUAGCUUUUAAUAUAAAAUGUUUUAGGAAAAACGAAUGUAUAAGUAAUGUAGGUACCUACUGUAUUUAUGUUUAUGCGGGCAUGGAAACACAGGAUUUCACGCUUCACGCAAUCAUAAAAACCACUCGGGAACGGGUACGUCACUAUUGGAAAUGACAAGUACCUUCGCUAAGCAGACCGCAUUACUCUACAAAAGACUCAUAUACAUAGAAAUACCGCGUGUGAACUAAUUUUUAUUGAGUUUACCAUGUCAGGGCAACUGUGGCUUUGUCAUUAAGUAUUUACUUACAAUAAAAGUCCCGAAGAAUUAGCUAAACAAUAGAACUCUUCAUUAAAGUAAAUCCUUGAAUAAUUGUUUUUGUUUUAUUUAACAUGCACAUUAAACGGAGCCGUAGGUAAUGGAGGUCGAUUUUUCACAAAGCACUUUGAUAAGGCCGCGGCAUUGUUACAAGAAAGAAGUGGACUGACAAAGGGUUAAGCCGAUAAUCGUUCAGAUGUCCAUCAGGUCAUCAGUUAGGAAUGAGAUGAAAGCUGUGCCGGUUGGUAACGAAUGGUAAUGAAAGCCACAGAGGUCGGUUGACAAAUGAGUCUGUCCGCAUUGUUGGCUCAGCAUUGUAUUAAUGAUACAGAAUACGGAUCAUGAGCAAAUGUAAACUGAGAUUUAACUAGCUGAUGCGUCUGACUUGUUUCCUGUGUUUUAUUGUACCUAUAACAUUCACAAAAAAUAUCAGUGAUAUUAUUACUUGUAUCUACUACAUACUUGAUAUGAAGCUUCUUCUUUCAAAACGAUUGCUUUGUUAUUGUAUUGUUGAUGCUAGUUGUUACACAAUAAUAAAUACUGAAUUGAUCGAAUUUAUCAAUUUAAAUAUUUAGACUUCCAACAUUCAAAAAUAGAUCUAAAUCAAUCCAUAGUAUCUCUUGCGAAAAGUAAACAUUGAAUCAAAUAUUCUCACGCAUUUCCUGUUUAUUACACGAGCACUUUUAGAUCUAGUUUCUGCUUCAUAGCAAAUAUCUUGUUAAGAUAUAAGAUAGCUUUAGUUUCACAUCAA